GACGUAGGGGGCAAGCGUUGUCCGGAAUCAUUGGGCGUAAAGCGCUCGUAGGUGGAUCGGUAAGUCUGCAAAGAAAGACCCGGGCUCAACUCGGGGAACGGUGUGGAUACUACCGAUCUUGAGGCAAUCAGAGGAUGAUGGAAUUACCGGUGUAGCGGUGAAAUGCGUAGAUAUCGGUAGGAACACCAGUGGCGAAGGCGGUCUCCUGGAGCAGACUUGACGCUGAGGCGCGAAAGCUGGGGGAGCGAACGGG
rnacentral:rRNA from 1 species